rnacentral:snRNA from 1 species
UCAUGAUCUGCAGAUCCGUC